GGUGAACGGAGGACAGGGAAGCCGGCGACCGAAGCCCCGGUGAACGGCGGCCGUAACUAUAACGGUCCUAAGGUAGCGAAAUUCCUUGUCGGGUAAGUUCCGACCCGCACGAAAGGCGUAACGAUCUGGGCACUGUCUCGGAGAGAGUCUCGGUGAAAUAGACAUGUCUGUGAAGAUGCGGACUACCUUGCAACCGGAGACAGGAAAGACCCUAUG
rnacentral:ncRNA from 1 species